ensembl:lncRNA
GUCUAGAAUAGUCAGUGAACCAAACCACCAAACAAAAUGCUGGCGAGAGGGGAAAGGAAACACGAGGUGAAGAACAUGAGGCUUGGAGAAGUGAGCAAGACCUAGAAGCCAGAUGUGGCUGGCUCCAAGUCCACCUUCUCCCAUUCACUAGGCAGCCUCUCUAACUGCCUUCGUGCUCAUCCAAGAGAAAAACAAUUAGCCGUGCUUUGUCUUGAAAGAAGACAUGGGUAGAAGCCUUGAAAAAACCCUGCUCCUGCCUUUGACCCCUGAGUUCCUGGGUGCACUCUAAGCUCUGAGGUCUCAGGACAGGGGCAUCCCUCCCCCGCUCCCUCUUCAAGUCCGACGGUGUUUUCACCACAGCUGUGACGUUGACUUAUUUCAAAAAAACAUUAUUUUAAGCAUUCAGCAAUGGCAAAAGAAAACCUUGUUUGGAAGCCAAAGUGCCCUUUUAAAUGACCCAUUAAUUGGAUCAAAGCUUCCCUCAAUGCAAGGAUAAUUGCUUGUAACUGGCUAAAGUCUAUGACCCAGAAUUGGAUUGACAAACAUCAGACACAACUCAGGGAGAAGAUUGGAGAUAAGCCGGCACCUGAAGAGGUUCAAAGGAAUAUCCAGUUGUUCAAAUCAAGCCAGGAGGGGUUGACAUCUCCCCACUGCCUGAGAGACGAUAGGUCAGAACGAAUCCUGCUUUUCCAUUCAAGUCCUGAGCUGGUGAACGUGACCCCAUCAAGACCAGCCGGCCAGGAUGGGUCCAGAGGAGAACAUCUGCCUUUGCAUCCACUCUUUUCUGCAUGGGAAGAUCCAGCAGCAGUGGAAGUCCCAACCGAUAAAUCCCCACGAGUGGCAUUUCUGGGCCAGGAAGCCUAAUUGACGUCUCUGGAAUGGAUUUCCACUCUCGUCUCACCUAACCCCUCCGGUUUGUGGUUGAUUCGUCACUGGAGUGGGAUAGAAGGAAAGAGGGAGAGGCAAUCAGAGCUCCUGGAGUUCUUCUGAAGCCAAGCUGUCUUAGAUGCGGGAGACCGUGGGCACCAGACAGCUGUGUGAGGAGCGAUGGUCCUGAGAGACUGGGGAGAGAGACUCCAGGGCAGGAAGGACACAGAGACAACCAUGGUCUCUGAAUUAUUCAGGAGAAGCCAGCUGCAACCAGACAGCCCCAAACUUUUAACAUCACAAGUAAGUUUGCUUCUCACUUAGCGAGAGGCAGGGUGAGGGACCUCCAGCGUUAUUCAGGCUAUUUCAUCCUGAGGCUUCAGCCCGAUAGGGUCCCUGGCAUCCUCUGCGUGCAGCCAGCAGAUGGAGAAAGAGAGUGAGUGUCGGUGGGGGAGUUUCUAUAGGUCUGCCUGUAGGUGGUCUCCAUCACUCCUGCUCAUAUUCCAUUGUCCAGAGUCCAAGUCACCAGUCCUCAUGCAGCUGCAAUGGAAGCACAGCCUAGGUGCACGCCCAGGAGGAAGAGGGGAGCGUGGAAGCUGGUGUGGAAGGGAAGCCUAUCCAACCUGAGAACAGGAAGGGCCGGGCAGUGGGCAGAUAUGGAGCUCUGCGUUUGCACACACUUUGCAUGCAAAGUAAUGCAAAUAGAAUGUGCCUUUCCAGAAUCUGGCCAUUUUAAGCAAUAGCUGCAGUGUCACACAGUUCCUGGGACUUUCCCCUCCACUCAUCAACAGAGGAAGAUGGACAAAAGGAGUCCCUUUUCCUUUGUCCUGGAUUUCCGGGGAGGCAGACACGUUAAUAUUGCUUGCUAGCCCCACUCGUCUCCCCCCUCUUUACGCCAGAUUCCUCGAUUCCUUCUGUUCUCAAGCUUCAUCAGCUGAUUCUGGCCUCAGAUCUUUAGUCUCCUUUUUCCAGUUUCCUGAUCUCAAUCUUCCUUCCCUAUUCAUUGGAUGUUUAUUAUACGCUAGUCCUUGUGUUAAGAACUUUAUAUCUAUAAUGGGAAGAAAGUAUUGCUGCGGUUUGAGCUUGUUAACCUAGAAAGGUGGUAGGAGUCCACUAAGGGGAAAAACUCUUUCUGUUAGGAACACACCUUAAUGGACUUUGGCUAUAAAAGCGGCGUAAUCAAACAGGAAGAGGUUUGGUAACAAACAAACAAAAGGAUGAAGGGCACGAAGGGGAGAGAGAGAGAGAGAAUUGCUCUCUAUGACAGAGUGGAAGGAAAAGAGUCUUGGAGAACUUUUAGAGCGGCUGGGUCCUCAAGAAGCUAGUGGUGACUUGGAAAAGGAAGCAAAUGUUUCAGCCCUGGCUGUGCAUUAAAAUUACAUGGAGGGGGCCGGCUCCGUGGCCGAGUGGUUAAGUUCGCGUGCUCUGCUGCGGUGGCCUAGGGUUCGGAUCCUGCAGCGAGGACACAGAACCACUCGUCAGGCCACGUUGAGGCGGCGUCCCACAUCCCACAACUAGAAGGACCUGCAGCUAAGAUAUACAACUGUGUACCGGAGGGGUUUGGGAAAUAAAGCAGAAAAGAAAAGAAAAGAAAACAAAAAAGAUUGGCAACAGUUGUUAGCCCAGGUGCCAAUCCUUAAAAACAAAAAAGGAAGAUUGGCAACAGUUGUUAGCCUAGGUGCCAAUCUUUAAAAAAAAAAAAAAUUACAUGGAAGACUGUGACUUUUAAGACUUUAAAAAAUAGGGGCUGACUCCGUGGCUGAGUGGUUAAGUUUGUGCGCUCUUCUUCAGUGGCCCAGGGUUUUGCCAGUUCAGAUCCUGGGCGUGGACUUGGCACUGCUCAUCAGGCCAUGCUGAGGCGGUGGCCCACACAGCACAACCAGAGGCACUCACAACUAGAAUAUACAACUAUGUACUGGGGGGCUUUGGGGAGAAAAAGAAGAAGAAGGAAAAAAAAAAAAGAUUGGCAACAGUUGUUAGCUCAGGUGCCAGUCGUUAAAAAGAGACUUUAAAAAAUAAACUGAAAAAAUUGAAAUCUAGCAUACUUACAGAAAAUUAUGCAAAUCAUAGGUGUACAGCCUGAUGGAUUUUCACAAAGUAAGCAUACCUGUGUAAUCGUCCCUCAGAUCAAGAAAGUAAAUAUUACCAGCAUCCGGAAGACUCCUUCCUGCCCCGUCCUGGUCCUGCCCUGUUCCCCCCGGGUUGCCACUACCCUGAUUCCUAACACCGUGGAUCUGUUUUGUCUGUUUUCGAAUUUUAUAAAAAUGGAGUAAUAAAAUAUGUAUUCUUUUUUUGUUG